rnacentral:tRNA from 1 species
UUUGAAAGACUUGAUCAUGUCGGCACCUGACGCAAAAGUGUCUAGUGUACUACAUGAAAACUUUGUUUAU